rnacentral:rRNA from 1 species
GACGAACGCUGGCGGCGCGCCUAACACAUGCAAGUCGAACGAGAGAUGAGGAGCUUGCUCUUCAAAUCGAGUGGCGAACGGGUGAGUAACGCGUGAGGAACCUGCCUUGAAGAGGGGGACAACAGUUGGAAACGACUGCUAAUACCGCAUGACGCAUAGAGGUCGCAUGAUCUUUAUGCCAAAGAUUUAUCGCUUCAAGAUGGCCUCGCGUCUGAUUAGCUGGUUGGCGGGGUAACGGCCCACCAAGGCGACGAUCAGUAGCCGGACUGAGAGGUUGAACGGCCACAUUGGGACUGAGACACGGCCCAGACUCCUACGGGAGGCAGCGGUGGGGAAUAUUGCACAAUGGGGGAAACCCUGAUGCAGCGACGCCGCGUGAGUGAUGAAGUAUUUCGGUAUGUAAAACUCUAUCAGCAGGGAAGAUAAUGACGGUACUGACUAAGAAGCACCGGCUAAAUACGUG